UACGUAGGGUGCAAGCGUUAAUCGGAAUUACUGGGCGUAAAGCGUGCGCAGGCGGUUUUGUAAGACUGUCGUGAAAUCCCCCGGGCUCAACCUGGGAAUGGCGAUGGUGACUGCAAGGCUAGAGUUUGGCAGAGGGGGGGUAGAAUUCCACGUGUAGCAGUGAAAUGCGUAGAUAUGUGGAGGAACACCGAUGGCGAAGGGCAGCCCCCCCUGGGUCAAAAACUGACGCUCAUGCACGAAAGCGUGGGGAGCAAACAGG
rnacentral:rRNA from 1 species